GGCUUCCUCAGGCUUAACAGGCUGUACUCUUAUUCUGCCUUAUAGAAAGAGAAGGCAGAGUAAACCUACCCCAUGCACAUCUCAGCCCAGACUACUGUACUUGGUAUGUUUUGUGAAAGGGGAGACCUUG